UUCGUAGGUGGCUUGCUAAGUCAGACGUGAAAUCCCUCAGCUUAACUGGGGAACUGCGUCUGAUACUGGCGAGCUUGAGUGCAGGAGAGGAACGCAGAAUUCCAGGUGUAGCGGUGAAAUGCGUAGAUAUCUGGAGGAAUACCGGUGGCGAAGGCGGCGUUCUGGACUGCAACUGACACUGAUGAACGAAAGCCAGGGGAGCAAAC
rnacentral:rRNA from 1 species